rnacentral:tRNA from 1 species
GCGCCUGUAGCUCAGUGGAUUAGAGCGCAGCCCUGCGGAGGCUGAAGUCGUGGGUUCGAGUCCCACCAGGCGCGCCA